GCCUAGCGUCUCAGACGUCCUGGGCUCGUCUACUCCUUGGCCUCUUCGUCACUUGGGGGACAGAGGGUCCAGCCCGAGGCCCUCAGUCCCUCUGAGCUGGCUCCUGUGAUAGCUUUGGCUAGGUCAGACAGACUCACCGACAAGCUCCGAGAGCACAGGCCUUUGGGUGGAGCUGAGCAGAGGGCCAGCCACCAUGAAUCCAUCCAGCUCUGACUCAGGGGUGACGCUGUUUGCCAGCUGUGGAGGUGCAGAGGAGAGAAUCCAGGCCCAGAGGGGUCACCUGGACCAAGACUUGGAGGAUACUGAGUUGGCCACGUGCCCUAGACCGACUCCCCAGAGCCCUGAAGACAUUAUAUUACCACCCCUCUCUGCUGUCACCAGCUCAAACUGAGAAACGGCCCUAAACCAUGAUGCUGAAGUUAAAAUAAUUCCUUUGGAGAUUUGCUGGUUGCACAAUCUUAGAUCAACAGUCUCCCAUCUGCUCUGGGCCUGCGGGUCUGUUGGUGCCCCAAGUGCCAGGCCAACUUGCUAGUCUCAGCGGGACCCUCGGUCAGAGGAGACCUGACGCCAGGUUCCGUCCUUUGCCUGGGACCCUUGACAAGGGCCACGCGAUUCUCAGCAAUGGGGUGUCCUUCCCUGUCCAUACAUCAACAGUUUCCCACACAGCGGAGCCUGCCUCGGGAUCGAGAGGGGCCUGUGGAAAUGCAGGCUGCGGGCCCCCACGCAGGAGUUCUGACUGGAGGGCGUGGAGCUGCCCCGCUCCAUGGAGCCAGCACGGACUUCACGCUCUGAGCUCGCAGGCCGGGCCCAGAGGUGAAGAGCCUGCAGGUGGGGAGACAG